rnacentral:rRNA from 1 species
UACGUAGGAUGCAGGCGUUAAUCGGAAUUACUGGGCGUAAAGCGUGCGCAGGCGGCUCCUUAAGUCAGAUGUGAAAUCCCCGGGCUUAACCUGGGAACUGCGCUUGUAACUGAGAGGCUAGAGUGUGGCAGAGGGGGGUGGAAUUCCACGUGUAGCAGUGAAAUGCGUAGAGAUGUGGAGGAACACCGAUGGCGAAGGCAGCCCCCUGGGCUAACACUGACGCUCAUGCACGAAAGCGUGGGGAGCAAACAGG